UUUAUAAUCUGGCACCUUCGGUGUCCGAGUUGUAAUCUCUAGAAGUGUUUUCCGCGUUGGACCGCACACAAGUCUGUUGGAAUACAGCGGCACAGUGGUGAUACCCCCGUACACGGUGCGGACGCCCAGCGCUUUGUGAUACACUUUCAAUGAGUCGAGUUGUUUGGGAAUGCAGCUCAAAUUGGGUGGUAAAUUCCAUCUAAAGCUAAAUAUUGGCGAGAGACCGAUAGCGAACAAGUACCGUGAGGGAAAGAUGAAAAGCACUUUGGAAAGAGAGUUAACAGUACGUGAAAUUGUUGGAAGGGAAACGCUUGAAGUCAGACUUGCUUGCCGGAGCUUGCUUCGGUUUGCAGGCCAGCAUCAGUUUUCCGGGGUGGAUAAUGGUGGUUUGAAGGUAGCAGCCUCGGCUGUGUUAUAGCUUUCCACUGGAUACAUCCUGGGGGACUGAGGAACGCAGCGUGCUUUUUGCGAAGGUUUCGACCUUUUCACGCUUAGGAUGCUGGUGUAAUGACUUUAAACGACCCGUCUUGA
rnacentral:rRNA from 1 species